rnacentral:lncRNA from 1 species
GUGUUUCGGAUAUGGACCCGAGACAAGACUCAAGCCGAUCGACCUCCUCUCCUUGAACACCUGAAUGGGUGGUGACCUGCAAGUUAGCACUCAAACGCCCAAGUCAGCCAAAUCACCGCUAAAUUCAGAGUUACAAGUAAAAAGAUCCAAAAGUCCCUUACCUCUCUCCAAACGCCUGUAUUUAUAGGCCUCAACUUUACCUUUGGGCGGCCCAUUACCUGUAACCACCGAUUCGUGAUCCCGAGUAUCUCGCUGGUUCGCGUAACUGUCGCACCUCACUUCCGAGAUCUUCGCUCCCAUCAUCCUAUUCGUUACGAUAUACACAUUAACUCCCUGAAUCCUCGUCUUUUGCCACGUACCUAUCCUAGUGCAUUCCCUUUUCCCCUGAUCCGUUUCUCUCUCCACCCGAUCCAUUUCUCUCUCCACCCGAUCCAACUAUACACCUCAUUACCCCACGUAUCACAUGUCUUCCCCACUUCCUCUGACCACCUUCUUCUCUCAAGCCGUCUGCCAUCCACCCCCACUGAUCCCUACCGAUCACUUUCUCCCUCCUCCCGAUCCGUUUCUCCCUCCACCCGAUCUACCUCUUACCCCCGCUAACUCCCUACGCAAUUCAAAUGAUCGCUUUCUCCUUCCAAUCAACCUGUUCUCCUCCCGAUUCCUCUUUCCUCCACCCCAGCUGACCCCUACCGAUCAUUUUCUCCCUCCACCCGAUCCUUUUCUCCCUCCACCCGAUCCACCUCUUACUCGCGCUACCUCCAUACACUAC